GACGGAAGGUGCGGGCGUUAUUCGUUUUGAUUGGGUGUAAAGGGUACGUAGGUGGUCGAGGAAGUAUUGGCGAAAAGAGCAGGGUAUUCCCGUGCAACGUGCCAUGUCAAGAAUCGACUUGUGUUGAGGAGAGGUUGGGUUAAUUCUCUAAGUAGGGGUAAUAUCCGAAGAACUAGGGAGGAAAGAUAACUAGCGAAGGCACCUUUCCAGCCUCAACAGACGCUAAGGUACGAAAGCGCAGGUAGCAAACAGG
rnacentral:rRNA from 1 species